GCAUGUUAUUAUCACCUCAAAGGAAGCAUUUUAAGAAAACUCAUGAAAAAUCGGAUGUCAUAAAGUGGCUCUAAAACCAUCCAAUUACAAGCAUUGAGGUAUUGCGUCUUAUUGACUGAUUUGGACGCCCAUGCUUUUGGCAAAUCAUUUUCGCUUCGCGCUUUCACAUUCGUAAUUUUUUCAAACCAUUUAGAGACUUUUCUUGAGUGCAUUAACUAAGAUACGUGUGCAGGUGUGCAAAUAAACAAAUGUACUUAUAAAAAUCGUUGUUGCAAGUAUCCUGUUGUGUAAUGAGAUCCGGCCAUCAUUUGCGCACUCUUUAACGUGAUGGAUAUGAACAUGUCCGACUGCUUAAACUAUUUCAGACGCUUCCUGCUCAUACAUGUAAGACUUCUCGCGCUAAAAUAUCAAGGUCACUUUCAUCAAGUAACUUUACAAUGAUUUUUCGAUAUCAAAAGUCAACAAAGAAUAUCACAAUGCUUUAUUUUAUUUUAAAUUUCAUUUCCUCGGCGAAGACCAAACCUUUCAAGUCUGUAAAUAAAAGCACAAGUAAAAGAAUGAUUUCGGAAUAAAAGUUAGUUCAGUUUUGACUUGCAAGCUUUAGUUGACGCCAACGACGCUACGAGGAAGGAUCGAAGGACAGAGCGAAACCAACUGAUUCAGCUAAAAGAUGUCUUGUAAAGUGAUUGGACUUUGUGUAGUGUUUUUUUCUGGUUUUCGCGUCUUUGGUUGAAGAGCAAGAAGCGUUUGCUGGUGGGUCCUGUAAGAGAGGUGAUCGACAAUGUCAUGGAAGGAAACGGUUUCUCUCAAGAGACGGAAUCUUUAAGACACUGGAAAAUGCCCCCGACGUCCCCUUGAGUCAUCGCCGCCAAAUCAGAAACGACUUCAACUGACCAGCACUGACAUGUGAAUUCGCUUCAUAAAUCAUUUCGAGCGACCCCCUUUGGGAAUCGUUUUUGCUUUUUUCCAGGUGUUUUUGUUAAUCUGUUUAACUUAAUAAAACGCUUAUGAAUUAAAAAAUAUUGCGUAUU